GUAUAUAGUUCAGUGGCAGAGCACUGGCCUAGAGAGCAUGAGGCCCUGGGCUCAAUCCCCAGCACUACA
rnacentral:tRNA from 1 species